rnacentral:rRNA from 1 species
UACGUAGGGUGCGAGCGUUAAUCGGAAUUACUGGGCGUAAAGCGCGCGCAGGCGGUUCUCCAAGUCAGUGGUGAAAGCCCGGAGCUCAACUCCGGAAUUGCCAUUGAAACUGUUGAACUUGAGGACGAGAGAGGUGAGUGGAAUUCCCAGUGUAGAGGUGAAAUUCGUAGAUAUUGGGAAGAACACCGGUGGCGAAGGCGGCUCACUGGCUCGUUUCUGACGCUCAGGCGCGACAGCGUGGGGAUCAAACAGG